UGUUGACGUAUGUGGGAGUUGGAUGGAUACUGAUCUUCAUCUUCACUUUAAUUUGUACUUUGACUUGCCUUCCCUUCUCGCUUUUCACUUACAUAAGUGGAUAUAUGAAGGGUUUGAAGAAAUCUAAGCUUCAUCAGACUGCGAAGGAGGGACAGCAGCUUCCUGCUGGUGCUCAUGGGAACCAGGGGCAGGCCAGAAGUGAUGAACGACAGCUGCUCGACAUUUACACAGAGGUCAAAUACAGCCCACUGUGACCUCUGACCCCAGCCACACCUCCACAAAUCAUGUGAUCCAGAUAACCACACCCUCCCAGACUCAC